UACUUUCUGUAUUGGUAGUUUGAGCAGCUGUUGUAGUUUGGGCAGUGGUAGGUCUUUCUAUUGUUGUGUAAGUUUGAUAUCCUGUUGUUGUUUUAGCUAUUGCAGUACUUUGGGUUGUGGUAGGUGUUUCUGUUUUUGUAGAAAUUUCUGGUGUUGUUG